rnacentral:rRNA from 1 species
GAUGAACGCUGGCGGCGUGCCUAAUACAUGCAAGUCGAGCGGAAACACGAGGUUCUUGCUCCACUGCCGUUAGCGGCGGGCGGGCGAGUAACUCAUGGAUAACCUACCUAUCAUACUCUGUUAACUUCGGGUCACCGGAGCUGAUACCGGCUAAUAUAUUGAACCAGAUGGCUCAUUAAUGUAAGACGGGUUUUCCCUCACUUCUAGAUGGAUGCGCGCCGCAUUAGCUAAUUGGGAAGAAAACGCCUUCCCAAGGCGACGAUGCGUAGCCGACCUGAGAGGGUGGUCAGCCACACUAGAACUGAGCCGCGGUCCAGACUCCUACGGUAGGCAGCGGUGGGGAAUCGUCCACUAUGGGCGGAAGCCUGGCGGAACACCGCCACGUAGGUGAAGAAAGGCUUCGGAUCUUAAAUCUCUGUUAUUUGGGAAGAACAAUUGUGUAAGUAACGAUGCACGGCUUGACGGUACCUAAUCAGAAAGCCACGGCUAACUACGUG